GGGAGUACGGGAAGGCUUAGAUGUAUGCAGUUUCUAUAGUUUCAAACCCAUGGAGCAACCUAUUGCUUACUGUUGCCCAAGGGUCCACCCUAUAUUUAUCUUUCCUCAUUGUUUGAACUCUUUGCAAAUCUAAGGACAAUGGUGGAGGAUAGCUUGUUAUUCACAGAAGGUUAAACUUUUAAAUGUGCUUUAUCCUAAAAGGUAUAAUGCUAGGAAGGCAUCCGGUUAGGAAGUCCUUAAUUUUUUCUUAGACCCUUCCUGAUUUAAAGUUCUGCUCGAUGGUC
rnacentral:lncRNA from 1 species